GCACCACGUAAGGUAAAGAUGUGAUGUAGUUAUGUUCCUAAUGAUCAGAACUUCCCAAACUGUAAUUUCCAGAAGUUUUGUGACCGAAUUAUUAGGCUGCCAGUCCAUGCACAAUGUGAAAAAGGAAGGAAGAAGAGACACCUAAUGGAAUGGAUGCAGCAUACAAAUUUCACAGUAUUUUAGAGCUGGAAGGAAUCUUGGAGUCUUCUAGUCCAACCUCCUGCUUAGCGCAACCUGAGUGACUUGACUGCAUAUGGGUAAACUGUAAUUCAGUCACUACUGCAUAAACAGGCAAGUGAAGCACCCCUGGCAAAAAAAACAACACAGAGGGCACACUUCCAAAAGAAAUCCUGACCAGUUCAGCAGAGGUGGAGAAGAACAAGAGCAGCAAUCUGAGCCAGGUGUGGGUGCAAGAAUGGCCCUAGACAAGCCUGAGAGAGGCUAAAGAGACCAGCUCCACCCUGCAAUCCUUUUUCCUUUCAGACUCUUCAAGACAGAGCCUGAGAGGCCUUGGAAAUCCUCUGGAGGGACUGGCUGAAGAGGGAUCCCUACACCAAUCAUCUGCUCAGCCUUGUAAAAGUAAGAAGACACAGUGCUGAAGAGCCCUUGGUUGCAAACAUUUCUCAUGUUUAAUGGAGGGAUGCCCAAAAAAAACCCUGGAAAGAGCCUGGCAAGGAGAAAUUGCUGUUUUACAUGUAUACUCUGCCAUUAUAUAGUUUCAAAGAAAUUAUGGAAGCAUUUUAGACUGCAUGAUUAAAAAAAACCUUUUUGCACUCAAGUAUCCUCAAUGAGUUUCAUGUGUCAAUGGUUGUUGGGUAUUGAA